GUCCGCUGGGUUCCUAAAAGUGAUCCCAGUCCAGACUGCGGAGGUUGCCACGCGUCAGCAUGGGCGAGUCCCCGCCACACUCCCCGGCCGCCUUGACGUCGUGGCCGGAGCUGCUCGCCCCGUUCGACCUCUCCCGACUUCGCUCCACACUCUCCUCCAGCCCGCUCACUCCGCGCCGCCUCGCCCGCCUCCUUGCGCUCCCGCUGUCCCCAGCAACUUCCCUCCUCCUUCUCCAGUGGUAUGCCGCCUCCCACCCCGACCUCUCAUCUCUCCCGCUCCGUCCCCUCCUCGCCGCCGCCAAUGCAGACCCCGAGCGCGCGCUCUUCCUCCUCGAAUCCCUUCCUCCCUCCCGCGUCCCUCCUCUCCGCGAGUCCCUCCUCAUUCCGCUCUUUCGGUCCUUGGCCCCUGGCCGCGCGCUCCACCUGCUUGACCAAUUGCCCCACCGCUUUGCCGUCUCUCCCUCCUUCCGUUCCUACAACACAGUUCUCGCCGCAUUUGCCAGGGCCGAUUGCCACACCGAUGUGCUCUCCCUCUACCGCCGGAUGGUCCACAGGGACCGUGUCCCACCCACCACCUUCACCUUCAGCAUCGCUGCACGUGCGCUCUGCCGCCUUGGGCGUGCCGAUGAGGCGCUCACGAUGCUCCGCAGUAUGGCUCGGCAUGGGUGUGUGCCUGACACUGUGCUCUAUCAGACAGUCAUACAUGCGUUAUGUGCCCAGGGCGGGGUUAACGAGGCUGCCACGCUCCUCGACGAGAUGUUCCUCAUGGGGUGCUCUGCUGAUGUCAACACGUUCAAUGACAUUGUCCAUGGGCUAUGCACGCUCGGGCGUCUGCGCGAGGCUGCUAGGCUCGUGGACAGGAUGAUGAUAAGAGGAUGCGUACCAAACGCUAUAACAUACGGAUUCCUUCUCAAGGGCCUGUGCCUAGCAAGCCAGGUGGAAGAGGCCCGAACGAUGCUUGGGCGGGUGCCGGAGUUGAAUGUCGUGCUAUUUAACACGGUGAUUGGCAGGUGUCUUUUGGACGGGAAGCUAAAAGAGGCGGCAGAGCUCUAUGAGACAAUGGGAUCAAAAGGCUGCCCACCAGAUGCACACACUUAUAGUAUAUUGAUACAUGGGCUUUGCAAGCUUGGGAGGCUCGGUUCGGCCAUGAAGUUGCUUAGAGAGAUGGAGGAUAAAGGUUUUGCUCCAAGCAUAGUGACAUACACAAUCUUGCUGCAUUCUUUUUGCAGGAAUGGCAUGUGGGAUAACAUUAGAGCCAUGCUGGAGGUGAUGUCAGAUAAAGGCCUGAGUAUGAAUUUGGAAGGAUACAAUGGAAUGAUAUGUGCAGUAUGUAAGGAUCGCCGGAUGGAUGAUGCAAUGAGAUUCAUGCAAGAGAUGAAGAGUCAAGGUUACAAGCCUGAUAUCUGCACAUAUAAUACAAUAAUUUAUCAUCUGUGCAACAAUAAUCAGAUGGAGGAGGCUGAGUAUCUAUUUGAAAAUUUGCUUCAUGAGGGUGUUGUCGCCAAUGCAAUAACAUAUAAUACACUCAUUCAUGCACUGUUGCGCAAUGGAAGCUGGCAGGAUGCCAUAAGCCUUGCAAAUGAUAUGGUACUUCAUGGUUGCUCACUUGAUAUUGUUAGCUACAAUGGUCUGAUAAAAGCGCUGUGCAGGGAUGGGAAUGUUGAUCGGAGCAUUAUGUUGCUUUCAGAAAUGGCAGAGAAGGGCAUUAAGCCAAAUAAUGUUUCAUACAACCUCUUGAUUAGUGAGCUCUGCAAGACAAGAAGGGUGCGUGAUGCACUAGAGCUCUCGAAGGAGAUGUUAAACCAAGAGCUUACUCCUGAUAUUGUCACAUACAAUACACUCAUAAACGGAUUGUGCAAAAUGGGAUGGAUGCAUGCUGCUUUGAAUCUCCUAGAGAAGCUACACAAUGAAGAUGUGCAUGCUGAUAUUAUUACAUACAAUAUCCUCAUUAGUUGGCACUGUAAAGCAAGAUUGCUUCAUGAUGCUAGUAUGCUACUAAAUAGAGCAGUGACUAGUGGGAUAACACCCAAUGAGCGCACUUGGGGAAUUAUGGUGCAAAAUUUUGUUCGGAAAUCCACUUAGCAUUUUAGCUCAUGAGAUGUUGUAAACAUCAAGAUGGCAGAUCAUGGGCGUCCAUCAUAGUCUUCACCGUGCUUGACCUGGUUCUUUCGGAGUAUCUAUCGCCAUGACGCUAGAACAGGAGCACUUGCUCAGUUGAAAGUUGAAACCAUAGAUGUCUAUAUCUGUUAUAAUUGUUUUUGAAUCAGUCUGUUAUGUUAUUAAUCAACAAGGGUAUAUUUAAAUACAUAUUCGGAGUUAAGAUAAUUUUCUUGUGCUAACUACCUCUGUAGCACAACUGAUCCAUGUUCAUGCCCUGGUGGAGCUCUGCUAAAUAACUGCAGUCCUUGCCUCUGGUAUUGGAUUAUUUUGAUCUACACUGCAGACUGAAAGCUUGUCAAUCAUAAGCGGAAACUUUCUGGUUAAAACAAGAGUAAAAUGCAUCGAAGGUCGUAAAACUAUGCAAGACGUGUCAACUAAGUCUCAUAAAUAUGGAAAUGCACAUGUAGGUCCUAAUUGUGCAUUGAGUGGUUCAUCACAGGUCCUACCUGGGUCUGACCUGCCCCGUGUGGUGUUGAUUGAUGCCAUUUAGGCUAAGAUCCUAAGAGUUCCACUCUAGCUAAUCGGUUGCUGUGAUUAGCAAAAAGGGCCCUGUAAAUUAUAUUGUUUGUGAGCUCUGAUUGGGGAAAGUGAGAGAGGGACUGGGGAAUGCGUAAAAUAACUUUCAGUGUCCUUUCUGCAAAUUUCUCACAUGAGCUGAUUAGCUAGCGUGCCAUUAUUAGCAUACGUGGCAUCAGUUAACGCGCCACACAGGCAGGUUAGACAACAUGUGAUGAACCACUUAAUGCACAAAUACGACCUAGUUAUGCAUUUUCAUACUUACGGAACCCAGUUGAAACAGCUUGCAUUUCUGUUUUUCUGAAAGGGAACUUUGGAAGUCCCUACAGUAUAAAUACGAACCUAAAUUUCCAUCCUUGAGGACUUAAACCUACGGGGUGAGCUUGCACAUCCACUAACCCAACAACCAAGCGAGCCUAACUUGCAUAGUUUUAGAACCUCCGAUGCAUUUUACUCACUAAACAUAGUACCUGAAACAUGUGAUGCUUUCCGUUCGGCCAGUAUUUAUACUUCAACGUGCAGUGUUAUGUAAUACAGCAAAUAGUAUGUCUCAUCUAUGCAAUUUUUUUUGUCUUCUCAACUUACCAAUAUUCUAGUUACUGCAUGAAUUGGUCAAGGAACCUGAUUCAUACUGGAUUAAUACCUUGAUAGUUGAACAAAAUACAAUAUGAAGAGAAACCAUGCUGAUAAGGCAACUGCUUGGGCUCUUGACGUCGAUUCGUUAUAAGUUCGGCGCGAGCUCGGCUCUAGAGCUAAACGUUACCCCUGUCAAAAAAUCUCGGGUUCAGCAAACUAUUAGAGCUUGGCUCAAGACCUAAGUGCCGCCACUCUCUUGUAGUCGUAGGUGGAGUGUAACAGCCCAAGAGCAACACUUUUCAUUUUAAGCCCUUUUGGACUGUUUUGUAAUUUAAUUUUGUCAUCAUCAUGUCACGCUCAUAUCAUCAUCAACAUUUUGCCAUGUCA